rnacentral:rRNA from 1 species
UACGAAGGGGGCUAGCGUUGCUCGGAAUCACUGGGCGUAAAGCGCACGUAGGCGGCUUUCUAAGUCAGGGGUGAAAUCCUGGAGCUCAACUCCAGAACUGCCUUUGAUACUGGAGCGCUCGAGUCCGGGAGAGGUGAGUGGAACUCCGAGUGUAGAGGUGAAAUUCGUAGAUAUUGGAAGAACACCAGUGGCGAAGGCGGCUCACUGGCCCGGUACUGACGCUGAGGUGCGAAAGCGUGGGGAGCAAACAGG